CACAGCCGCGGUAAUACGGAGGGGGCUAGCGUUGUUCGGAUUUACUGGGCGUAAAGGGCGCGUAGGCGGGCGAAUAAGUCAGGGGUGAAAUCCCAAGGCUCAACCUUGGAACUGCCUUUGAUACUGUUUGUCUUGAGUCCGGGAGAGGUGAGUGGAACUGCGAGUGUAGAGGUGAAAUUCGUAGAUAUUCGCAAGAACACCAGUGGCGAAGGCGGCUCACUGGCCCGGCAUUGACGCUGAGGAGCGAAAGCGUGGGGAGCGAACAGGAUUAGAUACCCGCGUAGUCCCUGUCUCUUAUACA
rnacentral:rRNA from 1 species